rnacentral:rRNA from 1 species
GACGAACGCUGGCGGCGUGCUUAAUACAUGCAAGUCGAGCGGACCGAGCGGCUCAAUGCCGGUUUCCGGCGGCGAGCUGCGAAGGUUAGCGGCGGACGGGUGAGUAACGCGUGGGUAAUCUGCCUCCAAGACCGGGAUAACAGUGCGAAAGUGCUGCUAAUACCGGAUAAUCUCCUUAUGCCGCAUGGGAUGGGGAGCAAAGCUCUGGCGCUUGGAGAUGAGCCCGCGUUCCAUUAGCUAGUUGGUGAGGUAACGGCUCACCAAGGCGACGAUGGAUAGCCGGCCUGAGAGGGUGACCGGCCACACUGGGACUGAGACACGGCCCAGACUCCUACGGGAGGCAGCAGUAGGGAAUUUUCCGCAAUGGGGGAAACCCUGACGGAGCGACGCCGCGUGGGGGAAGAAGGCCUUCGGGUCGUAAACCUCUGUCUUUGGGGACGAAAAUGACGGUACCCAAGGAGGAAGCCCCGGCUAACUACGUG